rfam:Nitrospira bacterium SM23_35 WORSMTZ_18627, whole genome shotgun sequence.
CAUUGCCUGCCCUGUUUGUGAUAAGGAGAACUUGUUGAUCCGGCAAGUUAGAUCUUUUGGGAGUCUGCGUAAAGGGUCGGUGUGCAUGCCUUGUGAAAUACGUGCAGGGAAGCCUAAUGGCUCUUUCAGGGCACCCACCUAUUUCAUAGGCGGAUCUAAUUUCUUCUUGCACGGCAGGGUGGGUUUGUU